UCUGCCCGCUGGCGGCGUGCCUAAUACAUGCAAGUCGAGCGAACGGACGAGAAGCUUGCUUCUCUGAUGUUAGCGGCGGACGGGUGAGUAACACGUGGAUAACCUACCUAUAAGACUGGGAUAAAUUCGGGAAACCGUAGCUAAUACCGGAUAAUAUUUUGAACCGCAUGGUUCAAAAGUGAAAGACGGUCUUGCUGUCACUUAUAGAUGGAUCCGCGCUGCAUUAGCUAGUUGGUAAGGUAACGGCUUACCAAGGCAACGAUGCAUAGCCGACCUGAGAGGGUGAUCGGCCACACUGGAACUGAGACACGGUCCAGACUCCUACGGGAGGCAGCAGUAGGGAAUCUUCCGCAAUGGGCGAAAGCCUGACGGAGCAACGCCGCGUGAGUGAUGAAGGUCUUCGGAUCGUAAAACUCUGUUAUUAGGGAAGAACAUAUGUGUAAGUAACUGUGCACAUCUUGACGGUACCUAAUCAGAAAGCCACAGCUAACUACGUG
rnacentral:rRNA from 1 species